UCUGUAUGCUGCUUUUGCUGGGGACAGAACAGGAAUGGAGUCUUAGAACUUUUAAACCGAAGGAAAAUGCAGGCUAUUCCUUCUCCUGUGUAUCCUCCGCCACGCCCAGGAACGUCUCCCUCUUCUUCGGGAACGGGGUCUUUGUGAAGAUUCAAUCCCAGACCUGCUCUACGAACAGCUGCAAUACCUGGUUCCCUUCUGUCUCUACGUCUCUGUAUCCCUCCCUGCUUGUUCCCAGUGGCCCAGGGAACGACUGAGUGUCAAACUGGGCCGAUCAUCAACACCGUCUACACGGGAGGCCGGUGCCCGAUCUGCAUUGCCCCGGGUCAGAGCAGCUGUUCCAGCACGGAGACCCUGCAGUGCGAGGGCCGUGCCAGCCAGUGCAUUUCCAUCAGCGGGCAGAUCUCGGAAGGUGAGCGCCUGUCCCGGAUUCCUUCCAGCCCCGGCUCUCCGGGCCCAUCGGCACGAGG